rnacentral:rRNA from 1 species
CGAACGGUAAGUUGAGUAGCAAUACUUAGCCAAGAGUGUCGUACGGGUGCGUAACACGUAUGCAACCUACCCUAUACAGGAGGAUAGCCUAGGGAAACCUGGAUUAACCCUUCAUAGUAUUAUUGGAUGGCAUCAUUUGAUAAUUAAAACUGAGGUGGUAUAGGAUGGGCAUGCGUCUGAUUAGUUAGUUGGCGGGGUAAUGGCCCACCAAGACGAUGAUCAGUAGGGGUUCUGAGAGGAAGAUCCCCCACACUGGCACUGAGAUACGGGCCAGACUCCUACGGGAGGCAGCAGUAGGGAAUAUUGGUCAAUGGAUGCAAGUCUGGACCAGCCAUGCCGCGUGCAGGAAGAAGGCCUUCUGGGUUGUAAACUGCUUUUGCCAGGGGAUAAAAUUUCCAUGCGUGGAAAACUGAAGGUACCUGGUGAAUAAGCCACGGCUAACUACGUG